UACGGAGGAUGCGAGCGUUAUCCGGAUUUAUUGGGUUUAAAGGGUGCGUAGGCGGCCGAGUAAGUCAGCGGUGAAAUUUUGCAGCUUAACUGUAACAGUGCCGUUGAUACUGCAUGGCUAGGAUUUGGUUGCUGUGGGUGGAAUAUGUGGUGUAGCGGUGAAAUGCUUAGAUAUCACACAGAAUAUCAAUUGCGAAGGCAGCUCACAAAGCCAAGAUUGACGCUGAGGCACGAAAGUGUGGGGAUCAAA
rnacentral:rRNA from 1 species